GACACGGUAGCUUAGUAGGAAUAGCACUUGUUUAGUGAAUAAGGGUCGUGAGUUCAAAUCUCACCUGAGUUG
rnacentral:tRNA from 1 species